rnacentral:rRNA from 1 species
AUUGAACGCUGGCGGCAGGCCUAACACAUGCAAGUCGAGCGGAUGAAGGGAGCUUGCUCCUGGAUUCAGCGGCGGACGGGUGAGUAAUGCCUAGGAAUCUGCCUGGUAGUGGGGGAUAACGUCCGGAAACGGGCGCUAAUACCGCAUACGUCCUGAGGGAGAAAGUGGGGGAUCUUCGGACCUCACGCUAUCAGAUGAGCCUAGGUCGGAUUAGCUAGUUGGUGGGGUAAAGGCCUACCAAGGCGACGAUCCGUAACUGGUCUGAGAGGAUGAACAGUCACAUUGGAACUGAGACGCGUCCCAGACUCUUGCGGUGAGAAGCAGUGGGGAAUAUUGGACAAUGGACGAGAGCCUGAUCCAGCCAUGCCGCGGGAGUGAAGAAGGUCUUCGGAUUGUAAAGCAAUUUAAGUUGGGAGGAAGGACAGUAAGUUAAUACCUGACUGUAUUGACGUUACCAACAGAAUAAGCACCGGCUAACUUCGUG